ACAUGCAGUCUUUGAUGAGUUCCUUUCCUUCUGCUAAGCUCCAGAUAUCUUAUUGAAUUUCUGCAUCGUUCACAUCCUGGAUCAGAGGGAUGCACACAUCAUAUAUCUGUGGGACAUAUCCUACUUCAAGAGGAACCUUCCUGCUCAGAUGAUGAUGACAGGAUGAAAAAUAUACCUGAAAACAGCUGGCUGAAGCACAGAUUCCUGAAACAUGGGAAUUAACUAUUCAAAUACAAGGAGGAGGCUGGAAAAUAAUUCUGCAGGACAUAAACAGCACUGAAACCCCAUGGCAAUGAAAAGCUCCUCUUACAGAAAAGGGAGAAGGCUGUAGCAGCUGAACAAGUGACCAGGUAUUGCAGAAACAGUGAUGUGCACAAGCAAGAAGAUCCCUGACAUGGUAUUAAAAAGGUCAUAGGAGCCCACCUGAAGCAGAGAUGUUUGUAUACUCAGGAGUCCCUUUUCAUUUCUUGCAUCAGCAGCCAACCCAAGCACACUGCCUAGACUAGGACUUCUGGUUUAUUCAUGUCUGGACUCUUGACAUGAUAAAUGAGAAGAUAAUCUUUCUGCAUUCAGUUGACUCUGAUCCUGUCUACCAGUCUUUCUCCUGGGGAAAAAAAAAAAUCACUGAAUGGAGUAUGUACCUUUGAAUAAAAAGAUUAAGGGAGAAUCAAAGACCUUACUUCUUGAAAAAAAAAGUGAUUUUUUUUUUCUUCUGCAGUCUCUUUCUUACCAACUGCACUUUGUAUGAAAUUAUGGGUUAUCUCUGUUUCCCUGUUUGGCUGGUACAGGAGUUCUGUCUGAGCUGUUCUGUCUCACCCUGGAAUGUGCUGUACCUCUAGGAUGGCACCACACAAUGUGAUUCAAGGUGGCAUUUUUCCCUAAGCUCACUGCCAGUGUUUCACACAAGCAUGCACUAAUCACAGAAUAUUUAAGCUUUAUGCACAUGAAAUGCAGCCUUGAAAAUGGUGCAAAAUAGUGAGAAAGGAGUGAGAAAUACCUCUUUGAGACACUAAGAGCAUCUGUUUUCUUUUUGGAUAAAAAGAUGGUCACUUUGGCAGUUUUCUACAUGUUGGUAUGCAUACAGUUUUCCAUUUUCCUAGAAGGUAGCCUAUUAAAGAACAAGAUGCCAUAGACUUAAUCCACAGAAUUCUUGCUAAAUAUGUAAUUUUUGAGGUAAUGCCCUGAUACACAGGCCAGAACUGUGGCUCUUUUCUUGGUUUUAUCAAAAAGGUUAUACUUGCUACUAAUCUCUGCUCAACAUACAAACAAAGUCCGGCUUUUUUUCUCUCCUUUAUUCUCCAUGCAGGGAAAUGAGUGAAGGCACCAGUUUUAGUUUCUAUCAGUUUCUGAGAGCAAAGUCAUGUAUCUUUAAGUAAAAAA